UACGUAGGUCCCGAGCGUUGACCGGAUUUAUUGGGCGUAAAGCGAGCGCAGGAGGUUUAUUAAGUCUGGUGUAAAAGGCAGUGGCUCAACCAUUGUAUGCAUUGGAAACUGGUAGACUUGAGUGCAGGAGAGGAGAGUGGAAUUCCAUGUGUAGCGGUGAAAUGCGUAGAUAUAUGGAGGAACACCGGUGGCGAAAGCGGCUCUCUGGCCUGUAACUGACACUGAGGCUCGAAAGCGUGGGGAGCAAACAGG
rnacentral:rRNA from 1 species